rnacentral:rRNA from 1 species
GUGGGGAAUAUUGCGCAAUGGCCGAAAGGCUGACGCAGCGACGCCGCGUGGGGGAUGAAGCAUUUCGGUGUGUAAACCCCUGUUGCCCGGGACGAACAUGCGAUUUCGAUCGCACUGACGGUACCGGGUGAGGAAGCACCGGCUAACUCCGUGCCAGCAGCCGCGGUAAUACGGAGGGUGCGAGCGUUGUCCGGAAUCACUGGGCGUAAAGGGCGCGUAGGCGGUGGCUUAAGCGUGUGGUGAAAGCCCGGGGCUCAACCCCGGGGCUGCCGUGCGAACUGGGUCACUCGAGCACUGUAGAGGCAGGUGGAAUUCCGGGUGUAGCGGUGGAAUGCGUAGAGAUCCGGAAGAACACCGGUGGCGAAGGCGGCCUGCUGGGCAGUAGCUGACGCUGAGGCGCGACAGCGUGGGGAGCAAACAGGAUUAGAAACCCCAGUAGUCC